AAUUAAUUAAAGUAAAAAUAUUAUCUUUAUUGAUUCUCAAAAUAAAUUAUUAUAUAUUUAUAAAUAAAAUAUUUAAAUUAUAUAUAUAUAUAGAGAGAGAGAGAGUGAGGCUAUUAUGCUUUUGGAAGCACGGAGCCUUCCGUACUUCCAUAUCGUUUUUUAUGUUGCGACUUUCGAAUCGUCGAUCGGCUCCGUUAAACUUGAUAUAGAGUAUUUGAAGUAUCUAGAAAAUAAAUUUUAUAAUUUUUCAAUAUCAUUUGCCUAGUGAUCGAAAGGGUUCAAAAUCAAUAAUUUUAAUGGCCAUAGUGACCCGUUUGCAAGUUUAAUGGCGUAGAAAUAUCUAAAUCACGUGAAAUUUUGAUAGAAAAUUCUUUAUACUAUAUAAAAUAAGAUCAGUAUCUUUGAUCUAAAAUUUUAAUGUCAUAUUAUUAAGUUUUGUAAGAUUUUUAUUUUCAGCCGUUGAUUUUGAACCCCUUCGUUCAAUAAGCAAAUAAUAUCGAAAAAUCGCAUAAUUUAUUUUCUAGGUACUUCAAAUACUAUAGAUCAAGUUUAAAGGAGCCGAUCGACGAUUCGAAAGUCACAACAUGAAAAACGACGUGAAAGUACGGAAGCCUCCGUGCUUCCAGAAAGAUAGUAACCUCACUCUCUAUAUAUA
rnacentral:lncRNA from 1 species